UACAUAUCCUUUUGCUUAUUUAAUAACUUCUGCAAAAUUUGAAUCCUAGGCAAUGUCAACCUCAACACCUUGAUGAACAUGUUCAGUGUGCUUGGUGCUGGUGGUGGCCUUGGUGGUCGAAAUGCUUCUAAUGGUCCCUUUAUGUGGCACACAUGAAUACUUACAACUCCAUAAUGUUGCUGAAUGAUUAAUUAUGGAAUGUGGACAAUGCAAGAUGCAUUUUGAGUACCCUUUUGAUCUAGGCUCUGGACCGCCAUGCUUGCGUCUGCCGCGGGACGUCCACGCUGCCAUCGCCCGUGAGCAGCUCCGACAGCCUCAUCGCCGUGUUGCACCUGCUCUUGUGUCGCAGGCUCGGGUUACCGUUGGUGCUCACGCUGAGGAAGGCAUGAUCCAUGCGGAGCAGCCCAAGGCGCGAUGCCACCUCCGCUGUCACGCAUGAUGAGCUGCUUCGCCUCUGGCACCGCCUUGUUCCUUCGCGAUCUCACAUUGGUACUGAUUGCUUCGCACUGCUCUUGAUUGAUUUUCUUUUAGUCUUUUAUUUAGCUCCGUGGAAUAUUUUUUUGUAUUGGCAAAAUCGAGAUGCUAACUUUUAGAAUACUUCCAAUAAUCUCAAUUAAUGUUGACUUGCCCCUUGUAGUAUUUAUAGUUUGCUCAUUUGUAUACAAUCAUCGGCUUUACAACCUUGUUUGCUCAACCCAAAAAAAAGGUGGACAGAGACUGUCUGUUUCAUCACUCACCAAGCACACCCAACGUACAUUUAAGGAGAACAGCACAAGAAGACAAGAAGCACCUAAACGGAAGUGAAUAAUUAAUUAACCAUGUAAAACCAUGUCCUCACACGUUUAAGUUGUUUACAUUUCCUCAUAAAUGAAUUUGUACCAAUUCAAAUAAGCUUGUUAGCAAGUACGAGUAGCAUUUGUGUUAGAAAAAUACAAGAAAAAAAGAUCUCUUAAUUUCUCAACUUUUGCUUGAUCUUGUGUGUUAGACUGUUAGUGUUCAUAUGGCGCAUCCCAAAUAUUCUUGUCCUGUAAUUGAACACAGACAGCCCAAAUACUCCUUCUGUAAUUGAACACAAGAAUAUGUUUAGUUGAUGGUCUGGUCAUGGAGCUCAAAUUUGGUUCAACAUGAAUUAUGAUACUUACUGUGUACUCUAGAUAUUUAUGUUUAAUUUUUUGCAAAUUUUUUUUGUUCAUUUCAGACAUGGAUGCACCCGAUUUUCCCUGCCCUGUUCUAUGC